rnacentral:rRNA from 1 species
CCUACGGGCUGCACCAGUGGGGAAUAUUGCACAAUGGGCACAAGCCCGAUGCAGCCAUGCCGCGUGUAUGAAGAAGGCCUUAGGGUUGUAAAGUACUUUCAGUUGGGAGGAAGGCGUUGAUGCUAAUAUCAUCAACGAUUGACGUUACCAACAGAAGAAGCACCGGCUAACUCCGUGCCAGCAGCCGCGGUAAUACGGAGGGUGCAAGCGUUAAUCGGAAUUACUGGCCGUAAAGCGCACGCAGGCGGUUGAUUAAGUUAGAUGUGAAAUCCCCGGGCUUAACCUGGGAAUGGCAUCUAAGACUGGUCAGCUAGAGUCUUGUAGAGGGGGGUAGAAUUCCAUGUGUAGCGGUGAAAUGCGUAGAGAUGUGGAGGAAUACCGGUGGCGAAGGCGGCCCCCUGGACAACGACUGACGCUCAGGUGCGAAAGCGUGGGGAGCAAACAGGAUUAGAUACCCCCGUAGUC